GAGAGAGAGAGAGAAAGGAGUGAGUGACCUGAUGCCUUAUCCCUGGGGCCCUGGAAAGCCCACCACUCCACCACACACACUCACAUACACGCAUACACGCACGCGCACACACACACACCACCAAGAAGGAAAGGUCGGAGCUGCUUCCAUCAGUUCCUAAUCUAAUCCCCGGUUAAAGUCAGACUUAUGAGUCCAAUGGAGCUUGUGUAAUUUUCCUGCUGGUAGCUCUCUCUUUGCUUCCCCUUUCCCUUUGUUUCUGUCUGGUCUCACGUCCUCUCUUUCCAUGUCAGUAAUACUAGGGUGUGUGUGUGUGUGUGUGUGUGUGUGUGUGUGUGUGUGUGUGCGCGCGCACGUAUGCACGUUCUCAUGACUUACUGCCUUUCUGCAGCCUCCUGUUUACAGUAUCUAAGACCCAUCACUAACUCACUCACUGGAGUGACUUUGUAAUUCCCUAGAGCAAUUCUCCAAAGUCACCGUUUUCACAAUUCAGGGCCCAGGAAGUCUGGAAUAUUUAUAUGCUUCCUGUGCUUUGCACAAGUGCUUCUAGCGUCUCUAGAGGGCCCACCUGGCCCUUAUCUUCCCCAGCCUAGCAUUACCCUUGUCAGAGAAUUGGAGCUAUGCACCUGAGUCCACCCAGCUAAGGGAUAGACCCAGGGUAGGCUCCUGGCUUGGAACAGUGACGCUGAAUAAGCCAUAGCUUCUCAGGAGCUUAGGAUGUAUGACUGUCACUUCCACAACCUAACUGCCACCAUCCACCGUGCCCUGCUCUUACACAGAGUGAGACCUGGAACCUCUAAACCAUGACGUGCAUUCCUGCUUUGAAGAAAAUAGGCUGAGGCUCAGAAGGACCGUGAAAUUUUCUCAAGGUCAUCGAUCUAUCACAGGCAGACCUCCUUUUAAGAAGAUUGCUAGAAUGACUGAUGAAGGAGCGCAUGGCAAUCCAGACACAUGCAUUGGGCAUUGGCAUCUCCUCACUCACUGCCACCAACUCCAUCGCCCCUCGACACCGGAAACUGAAUUCUAGUACUGUGGAGGGACUGCUGGCAUCUACAAUGAGCCAAAUGCCAAGAAGGAUAAGGAGUCCCAAGAUAGGCAGGACCACAGAGAGAGCCACUGCUGGAGAGGACAGACUUCCGGGAGCUGGGGCUGAAACAGAGACCACCAAUGACCACCCUCAAGGAGACGGCUGAGA